CAGUAGCCGCGGGAAUACGUAGGUCCCAAGCGUUGUCCGGAUUUAUUGGGCGUAAAGGGAGCGCAGGCGGUUUAGUAAGUCUGAAGUUAAAGGCAUUGGCUCAACCAAUGUAUGCUUUGGAAACUGUUAGACUUGAGUGCAGAAGGGGAGAGUGGAAUUCCAUGUGUAGCGGUGAAAUGCGUAGAUAUAUGGAGGAACACCGGUGGCGAAAGCGGCUCUCUGGUCUGUCACUGACGCUGAGGCUCGAAAGCGUGGGUAGCGAACAGGAUUAGAUACCCGUGUAGUCCCUGUCUCUUAUACA
rnacentral:rRNA from 1 species